rnacentral:rRNA from 1 species
AAAGCGUGCGCAGGCGGUUUUGUAAGUCUGACGUGAAAUCCCCGGGCUCAACCUGGGAAUUGCGUUGGAGACUGCAAGGCUGGAGUCUGGCAGAGGGGGGUAGAAUUCCACGUGUAGCAGUGAAAUGCGUAGAGAUGUGGAGGAACACCGAUGGCGAAGGCAGCCCCCUGGGUCAAGACUGACGCUCAUGCACGAAAGCGUGGGGAGCAAACAGGAUUAGAUACCCGAGU